rnacentral:rRNA from 1 species
UACGUAGGGCGCAAGCGUUGUUCGGAAUUACUGGGCGUAAAGCGCACGUAGGCGGCUUUGUAAGUUAGAGGUGAAAGCCCGGGGCUCAACCCCGGAACUGCCUUUAAGACUGCAUCGCUUGAAUCCAGGAGAGGUGAGUGGAAUUCCGAGUGUAGAGGUGAAAUUCGUAGAUAUUCGGAAGAACACCAGUGGCGAAGGCGGCUCACUGGCCUGGUAUUGACGCUGAGGUGCGAAAGCGUGGGGAGCAAACAGG